GAUGAAGAACGCAGCGAAAUGCGAUACGUAAUGUGAAUUGCAGAAUUCAGUGAAUCAUCGAGUCUUUGAACGCACAUUGCGCCCCCUGGUAUUCCGGGGGGCAUGCCUGUCCGAGCGUCAUUGCUGCCCUCAAGCACGGCUUGUGUGUUGGGCCUCCGUCCUCCUCCCGGGGGACGGGCCCGAAAGGCAGCGGCGGCACCGCGUCCGGUCCUCGAGCGUAUGGGGCUUCGUCACCCGCUCUUGUAGGCCCGGCCGGCGCUUGCCGACACAUCAAUCUUGUUUCCAGGUUGACCUCGGAUCAGGUAGGGAUACCCGCUGAACUUAAGCAUAUCAAUAAGCGGAGGA
rnacentral:misc_RNA from 1 species